AGCAGUCGCCGCGGUAAUACGUAGGUGGCAAGCGUCGUCCGGAAUUAUUGGGCGUAAAGGGCUCGCAGGCGGUUUCUUAAGUCUGAUGUGAAAGCCCCCGGCUCAACCGGGGAGGGUCAUUGGAAACUGGGAAACUUGAGUGCAGAAGAGGAGAGUGGAAUUCCACGUGUAGCGGUGAAAUGCGUAGAGAUGUGGAGGAACACCAGUGGCGAAGGCGACUCUCUGGUCUGUAACUGACGCUGAGGAGCGAAAGCGUGGGGAGCGAACAGGAUUAGAUACCCCUGUAGUCCCUGUCUCUUAUAC
rnacentral:rRNA from 1 species